AAACUUGAGAGUUUGAUCAUGGCUCAGAACGUACGCUGGCGGCACGCCUAACACAUGCAAGUCGAACGAAGUAGCAAUACUUAGUGGCAGACGGGUGAGUAACAUGUAGGUAUCUGCCCUUUGGCCUGGAAUAACACGAGGAAACUUGUGCUAAUACCGGAUAAGUCUUUACGGAGAAAGCUUUAUGCACCAUUGGAUGAGCCUGCACUUGAUUAGUUUGUUGGUAGGGUAAUGGCCUACCAAGACUAUGAUCAAUAGCUGAUUUGAGAGGAUGAUCAGCCACAUUGGGACUGAGACACGGCCCAAACUCCUACGGGAGGCAGCAGUGGGGAAUCUUGCACAAUGGAGGAAACUCUGAUGCAGCGAUGCCGCGUGAGUGAAGAAGGCCCUUGGGUUGUAAAGCUCUUUCGUCGGGGAAGAAAAUGACUGUACCCGAAUAAGAAGGUCCGGCUAACUUCGUGCCAGCAGCCGCGGUAAUACGAAGGGACCUAGCGUAGUUCGGAAUUACUGGGCUUAAAGAGUUCGUAGGUGGUUGAAAAAGUUGGUGGUGAAAUCCCAGAGCUUAACUCUGGAACUGCCAUCAAAACUUUUCAGCUAGAGUAUGAUAGAGGAAAGCAGAAUUUCUAGUGUAGAGGUGAAAUUCGUAGAUAUUAGAAAGAAUACCAAUUGCGAAGGCAGCUUUCUGGAUCAUUACUGACACUGAGGAACGAAAGCAUGGGUAGCGAAGAGGAUUAGAUACCCUCGUAGUCCAUGCCGUAAACGAUGUGUGUUAGACGUUGGAAAUUUAUUUUCAGUGUCGCAGCGAAAGCGAUAAACACACCGCCUGGGGAGUACGACCGCAAGGUUAAAACUCAAAUGAAUUGACGGGGACCCGCACAAGUAGUGGAGCAUGUGGUUUAAUUCGAAGAUACGCGCAGAACCUUACCAACACUUGACAUGUUCGUCGCGACUCUAAGAGAUUAGAGUUUUCGGUUCGGCCGGACGAAACACAGGUGCUGCAUGGCUGUCGUCAGCUCGUGUCGUGAGAUGUUGGGUUAAGUCCCGCAACGAGCGCAACCCUCACUUUUAGUUGCCAUCAUUAAGUUGGGCACUCUGAAAGAACUGCCAGUGAUAAGCUGGAGGAAGGUGGGGAUGACGUCAAGUCCUCAUGGCCCUUACGUGUUGGGCUACACACGUGCUACAAUGGUAUCUACAACAGGAAGCAAAACGGCAACGUUUAGCAAAUCCCGAAAAGAUACCUCAGUUCGGAUUGCACUCUGCAACUCGAGUGCAUGAAGCUGGAAUUACUAGUAAUCGUGGAUCAGCGUGCCACGGUGAAUGCGUUCCCGGGUCUUGUACACACCGCCCGUCACACCAUGGGAGUUGGUUCUACCUUAAGGCAAGGUUUUAAACCCUUGACCACGGUAUAGUCAGCGACUGGGGUGAAGUCGUAACAAGGUAGCCGUAGGGGAACCUGCGGCUGGAUUACCUCCUUU
rnacentral:rRNA from 1 species